CGCUCGAGUAUGCGAAGGUAGUCCGUGUGUUUGGAGAGUUUUGGGUAGAUUUGGUGAAGACAUCCAAAUGUCUGAGGACUGCUCGGCGAUGCACCUUCAGCCCUGGGAAAGAGGUUUUGAACAUGUUUUGUAAAGGAUCUGGCAGAUCAAACAGCCCGCCAAGCCAGUAAAAGUCACACCCUACCCGCCGUCCACAUGAGAACUGCAACAAGAGAAAAGAGGUCCAGGAUAAAUAAGACAAGAAGUUGAUUAGAAAAUGGUUCCCUCCCACCUUCAGAAUAACUACAAAAUGAGGCAAAAGGUUGAAGGAUAAACAAGGCAAGAUGUGUUGGACCCAAUCACUGCUGCAAGAUGAGUGCCCAAACAAUACUGAAGUUUUCUCCCCCUCUGUACAGCAAUAUGAGAAGCACAACAAAAUUGGAAACCCAGUUUGUUUGGUAAUCCAUAGCACCAGUGUUGAGGGGGUACCUAAAUCUUGUUUUCCUUAGCCUUCCCUGAGGCUUCAGUGCCAAUACUGUCUUCCCCCUAAUCCUAUUCCUGUCUAGUAACUCGAUAGCCAUUUCUCGGCCAAAAAAGGGUGAAGGGUUCCUGUGUGACCCUUUAAUAGUGAUUUACCCCUACUUUGUUACAAAACAAGUGGCCUCAAUGAUGGACAGGCAGGGUUUAGUAUUUUUGGCCCAGUCAGUUUCUAUCCUUGUUUUUUGCUGUUGUUGUUUUGUUAUUAUUGUUAUUUGAAGGGGGUGGUAUAGAAUUUAUAUGAUUAUGUAUAUGAUUGGUAUCUCUCACCCCCCCCCCCCCCCCCUCCCGAAGCAUACAGCUGAGUACCACCUGCAAACUAGGGUGGGCCUUAGAUGACUGAACUAUGUUGAUAUUGCAACAAAAUAUGACAUGGAAUAAAUUGUGUUUAGGACAUAUGACAGGCAUCAAUAGAACACUGUAUUUUGGCAUACAGUAGGUAUAACUUGAUAAAUUAAAUACUUGAAAUAGUUAUUUAUGAAAGCAUUUGUUUGCAGAUUAUCAUAUUAAAUGUGCUGUUCAUUUC